UACGUAGGUGGCAAGCGUUGUCCGGAUUUACUGGGCGUAAAGAGCGCGCAGGCGGUCGUGCAAGUCGCGUGUGAAAGCCCCCGGCUCAACUGGGGAGGGUCACGCGAUACUGCUCGACUUGAAGGCAGGAGAGGGAAGCGGAAUUCCCGGUGUAGUGGUGAAAUGCGUAGAUAUCGGGAGGAACACCAGUGGCGAAGGCGGCUUCCUGGCCUGUUCUUGACGCUGAGGCGCGAAAGCUAGGGGAGCAAACGGG
rnacentral:rRNA from 1 species